UUAUUCUCCAGCUUGCUGCGUGUAGUGCCCUCCCUCAGAGAGUUUCAAUCAUUUAUCUUUGGACAUGAUUGCAGCAUCUGAGGGAGAGUAAUACAUGACAUGUUCAGGUAUUCCUUA
rnacentral:precursor_RNA from 13 species